rnacentral:snRNA from 1 species
AGCUUUGUGCAGUGGCAGUAUCAUAGCCAAUGAGGUUUAUCUGAGGUACGAUUAUUGCUAAUUGAAAAUCAUGCUGAGCAUGUGCAUGUGUGUGUACCACAAGAAACUUCAAGAUAAG